GGAGGAGGGCCCUCCGAAGCCGCCAUACAGGUGGACAAAAUCCAUGGUAGUGAGCGUUAUGGAAAAGGUAAGACGAAGAUCUUAUCAGGU
rnacentral:ncRNA from 1 species